rnacentral:rRNA from 1 species
UACGGAGGGUGCAAGCGUUAUCCGGAUUCACUGGGUUUAAAGGGUGCGUAGGUGGGCAAGUAAGUCAGUGGUGAAAUCUCCGGGCUUAACCCGGAAACUGCCAUUGAUACUAUUUGUCUUGAAUACUGUGGAGGUCAGCGGAAUAUGUCAUGUAGCGGUGAAAAUGCUUAGAUAUGACAUAGAAACACCAAUUGCGAAGGCAGCUGGCUACACAAUUAUUGACACUGAGGCACGAAAGCGUGGGGGAUCAAACAGG